AACGAACGCUGGCGGCAGGCCUAACACAUGCAAGUCGAGCGAGACCUUCGGGUCUAGCGGCGGACGGGUGAGUAACGCGUGGGAACGUGCCCUUUGGUACGGAAUAGCCCCGGGAAACUGGGAGUAAUACCGUAUAAGCUCUUCGGAGGAAAGAUUUAUCGCCAAAGGAUCGGCCCGCGUUGGAUUAGGUAGUUGGUGGGGUAAUGGCCUACCAAGCCGACGAUCCAUAGCUGGUUUGAGAGGAUGAUCAGUCACACUGGAACUGAGACACGGUCCAGACUCCUACGGGAGGCAGCAGUGGGGAAUAUUGCACAAUGGACGAAAGUCUGAUGCAGCAACGCCGCGUGGAGGAUGACACAUUUCGGUGCGUAAACUCCUUUUAUAUAGGAAGAUAAUGACGGUACUAUAUGAAUAAGCACCGGCUAACUCCGUG
rnacentral:rRNA from 1 species